UCAGCAGGAGAAACAACAGCCCGCAUUGGCUUGACAUAACGCAGCCUCUGAUGAGUAAUCGGCCGCUCUCCCGGGACACGGAUUGGCUCGGGAGCGAAAGGGCAGCCGCAAGACGGCUGUAAAGCCAGUGGUGGCAACUGAGAAGAGGCAACUUCAGUCACUCUCCUGUUUCCUGGUUCUCAGAACAGGUAUCCCAUUAUUACAACCAGGAGGCCAAAACAAACAAACUUGUGCUCUGUUUCAGAUCGACUGACAUCCAAGUCGCCUUUUUCUACACUAACAAGAAUGGAAGGUGAUGGUCAGUGAAGUGGACAGGAAGCAGUUUUUUUGCUUUUGCUGUGAGUCACUCUUCCACACCUUUGCAGAGUGCUCUGGUAUGGACCUGCAAUCAGAGAUAUGCAAUAUUUUCAGAUUUAAAAUAUUUCUGGUGCCAGUCCGACAUGGUUCUUCUAACCUAUUUUCUCACUGGUACAAAGGAGGGAAUUCCAUGCCCAAAGGGCCCCAGAGUCUGCUGUUGUAUAUUUUUAAAUGAUUUAUUUAGCAGUGUUAAACCAUAGUUACAGUAGCUUGCUUUCAGGCUUUCAUGGGAGAUUUUUCAUGGCUUUUAUCUGUUUAUACAACAGGAUAUUAACUGGAAUAUUGAUCUGUUAUGCCGCAGGCUAUCCUCAGCCACGUUCGUCCUCAUGGAUCCCCGAAUGUGUGUGGGUCUCCGGUCUGCGUUUGAGUCUGUCUGCUGGUGAAAGUGGCUGUUCUGUUGUGUAGGUUGCCCAGAAGAUGCCUCACUGUCUUAGUUAAGACACUCAAGGCAAAAGGUGCCACAAAGACUCAUUUCUGACGCUUGUUGGAUCUUGCCGGAAUUUGUGCCAGUGCCCCCUGGAGGAAGGAUGAUGAAGGUGCCAUCAGUCAGAUGAGGGUUAAGCUCCUUACACGUGACUCUUCAUUUCUCAUGUCAUGGCAUUGGCUUUCGAAGGAAGAAAGUUCAGGUGCAAAUGGUGUAAUUAAUAAGGUGUUUUGUACUUCCUGGUAUAAAAAUUGAGAGCUGCUUUUAUUUUAGCACAGUUUUAUAAAGACUUCCACAAAUAUCUUAAUCCCUGCAGAAAAAUAGUGAUUUAACAACUGUUCUGACUUCUGAGUUCGAUCUUGUUUUGAUUCCAAGAACUCAAACACAGAUGUUACAGUUCCCUGCCAGGCUUCACUUAUCCGACUAACAUAUUGCAUUUUGUUGUUGUGUUAGAUGAUUUUAUGUACCAUAGCCUGUUAUGUUCCUGAUUUUCCUGUUCCUGUGAUCCAGCUUAAGGGUCCAACAGAAUAGUCCCAUUUCUGGUCAUACAGACUAAGUCUGUAUCUUGCUGACCUAAGCAGACUUGCUGCAACCCUGUGGCCCCAGUGCGCUCUCUCUCUCUCUCUCUCUCUCUCUCUCUCUCUUUCCCCCUUGCUCUUUCAAUUAUGGGCUCAGCACAGCUGAUCUAAUUGGAUGAGACAUUUCCAUUUAACUGAAGGGAGAGGUAAUUUAAGGUAAAAGCAGAUGGUCACUUAAGACACUUAAUUUUAACAAAAGCUCAUUCAUGCCAAUGACUUAUUUCUUCCCUUUUCUUCCUCCUGAAUUGCAGAGAGUGAUCAUACAUCUUGGGACCAGGUUAUGUAACAAUGAACAAUGAUGUUCAAGAGGAUGCAAAAGUUCAGUGAUGCAAAGUGAUUUCCUAAAACAUGACGUUUUGCAUCCUCUUGAACACAACCUCCAUUAACACACAUUUUACAUAACAUGAUUUCCCUAUGCACCUUUAAUCAUUUUACUUAUGUAGUACUAUUUUAUUUUUUUCCAUAUAUAUGUAGAUGGAUAUUUAUCUUACUGUAUAUAGGUUGAAUUCCUUCUUAACUGGAACAACUAUAUUCCCUGUCCUGGCAUAGGAACCAAAUCAAUCUUAGUCUGUGCACUAUCCUACCUGCCAACCAGCACCCAGAAGCAAGGAUUUUCUGAUUAAUUACCUGUGAUUGCAGCCAGUUCCAGGACAUAACAAAAGAAAAAUUCUUUUGCCCUGUAUGAUUAGCUGAGGGCUCAUUAGCUAGCUGAACCUGCAGCACUGGGUUUGUAUACCUCUGCUCUGUGAUUAUUCUCAGUCGCAGUCCGGGUUUUUCCACUAUUGCUGCAGAAAUAGAAGAACCAUAAAUCUUAGAGUGCAACCAUCUAAUACUGCUGUAGAACCUCCUGGUUGAUGCCUCACCCCAUGAUCCUAGGUUUAUAUGAUCCGUCAGUUAAUUUAACCAACAAUGAACAGUAAUAACUCAAGAGUUCUGCAGAAAAAAACCGCAAACAUCUGUGAUCUAUGAGGCCUGAACUUGCUAAAACCUGCUGAAGAACCUGCAGAACCACAUGGUCUACAAUGACUCUGCCUACUGCUGCUGUAGAACCUCCAGGACGCCACCUCAGGACUGCUGGAGGAUUGUCCCUGAGGAUCCUUGAGGGUGGAGAACAUCAGCUAUAAGCAGGGCUGGUGGCAUGAAUUGUUAACUGAAAGAAGAUGCCCCCCAAGGCUAAUAAGACGAAUGGGGUGGGGGAGGUGGGCCAUAUUUCUUGC